rnacentral:rRNA from 1 species
UACGUAGGGUGCGAGCGUUGUCCGGAUUUAUUGGGCGUAAAGAGCUCGUAGGCGGUUUGUCGCGUCGGCCGUGAAAUCUCCACGCUUAACGUGGAGCGUGCGGUCGAUACGGGCAGACUUGAGUUCGGUAGGGGAGACUGGAAUUCCUGGUGUAGCGGUGAAAUGCGCAGAUAUCAGGAAGAACACCCGUGGCGAAAGCGGCUUCCUGGACCGACACUGACGCUGAGGCGCGAAAGCUAGGGGAGCAAACGGG